rnacentral:rRNA from 1 species
AACCUGCGGAGGGAUCAUUACUGAGUGAGGGCUCACGCCCGACCUCCAACCCUUUGUGAACCAAACUUGUUGCUUCGGGGGCGACCCUGCCGACGACUUUGUCGCCGGGCGCCCCCGGAGGUCUUCUAAACACUGCAUCUUUGCGUCGGAGUUUAAACAAAUUAAACAAAACUUUCAACAACGGAUCUCUUGGUUCUGGCAUCGAUGAAGAACGCAGCGAAAUGCGAUAAGUAAUGUGAAUUGCAGAAUUCAGUGAAUCAUCGAAUCUUUGAACGCACAUUGCGCCCUUUGGUAUUCCGAAGGGCAUGCCUGUUCGAGCGUCAUUUCACCACUCAAGCCUGGCUUGGUAUUGGGCGUCGCGGUUUUCCGCGCGCCUUAAAGUCUUCCGGCUGAGCUGUCCGUCUCUAAGCGUUGUGGAUUUUUCAAUUCGCUUCGGAGUGCGGGUGGCCGCGGCCGUUAAAUCUUUAUUCAAAGGUUGACCUCGGAUCAGGU